rnacentral:siRNA from 1 species
GUGAAUUCUUAGUGCUAUCAUGGU